UGACGAUGGUAGAAGUUUUUGAAAAUCAAAGUGCUUGACCUACACUACUAGCUAUCCUUUUUUCAAUCCAUCACCAGCUUUUUGGCUGAUCAAAUAUCAAUGGCAUGCUUGUACACACCAACCUCAUUGUUGUGGAAGGCUCAAUGUGUUUCUUUGCCAACCAACCAAGUUCUCUAGGACUCUAAGCUCAUUGGCAUUUAUCUGG
rnacentral:lncRNA from 1 species